UCAGGUGUAGCGGUGAAAUGCGUAGAGAUCUGAAGGAAUACCGGUGGCGAAGGCGGCCCCCUGGACAGAUACUGACACUCAGAUGCGAAAGCGUGGGGAGCAAACAGGAUUAGAUACCCUGGUAGUCCACGCCGUAAACGAUGUCUACUUGGAGGUUGUGGCCUUGAGCCGUGGCUUUCGGAGCUAACGCGUUAAGUAGACCGCCUGGGGAGUACGGUCGCAAGAUUAAAACUCAAAUGAAUUGACGGGGGCCCGCACAAGCGGUGGAGCAUGUGGUUUAAUUCGAUGCAACGCGAAGAACCUUACCUACUCUUGACAUCCAGAGAACUUUCCAGAGAUGGAUUGGUGCCUUCGGGAACUCUGAGACAGGUGCUGCAUGGCUGUCGUCAGCUCGUGUUGUGAAAUGUUGGGUUAAGUCCCGCAACGAGCGCAACCCUUAUCCUUGUUUGCCAGCGAGUAAUGUCGGGAACUCCAGGGAGACUGCCGGUGAUAAACCGGAGGAAGGUGGGGACGACGUCAAGUCAUCAUGGCCCUUACGAGUAGGGCUACACACGUGCUACAAUGGCGCAUACAGAGGGCGGCCAACUUGCGAAAGUGAGCGAAUCCCAAAAAGUGCGUCGUAGUCCGGAUUGGAGUCUGCAACUCGACUCCAUGAAGUCGGAAUCGCUAGUAAUCGUGGAUCAGAAUGCCACGGUGAAUACGUUCCCGGGCCUUGUACACACCGCCCGUCACACCAUGGGAGUGGGCUGCAAAAGAAGUAGGUAGUUUAACCUUCGGGGGGACGCUUACCACUUUGUGGUUCAUGACUGGGGUGAAGUCGUAACAAGGUAGCGCUAGGGGAACCUGGCGCUGGAUCACCUCCUUAAACGAUGAU
rnacentral:rRNA from 1 species